CGCCAGGUAACGCGUGCGAGCUCGUCCAGUCUCGCGGGAUAUAUCGCAAAUCUCACGAGCGCUUCUCACGAUGGCGGCGGCGGGUCGGAUCCCGUCGGCGCUGUAUGCUUGCAGAUCUGAUCCGCCUGCCGGUCCGGAGCGGAGUCGUUCUGGAUCCAGUGGGAUUCCCGGGUAAGUCUCUGGAUCCUCUGUUAACUUAAACAGCUGUUUGAGUUUAACAGCCAGAACAACAUCAACAAAUAUUCCCUGCCCAAAUCCACAGCGGUCUACAUGCUGUUGUUUGGACAAUAGCCAAUUUCAGUGAAAAGGUAACUUUUCAAGACAUCAAGACCCACCUACUCCUGCUCUGAUUGGCCAAUAAUCUUUACUUCCUGAAGACACAAGGGAUGGGAUUGGUCAAAUAUAGCAAGAGAAAGCGAGUCAGCCAAUCAGAGACAGUUGUGAAAAUUCGCGGGGUUUUCAGGACGGGUAUGUUUGUUUCUGAAUUAGGCAUACACCGGUUUGUUUUGGAUCCAUCCAGCAGCUCCUCAAGGGGGUUUUGUGAGACUUUGUCAACGGUUUCGAC